rnacentral:rRNA from 1 species
GACGAACGCUGGCGGCGUGCCUAACACAUGCAAGUCGAGCGAGAAAGUCCCUUCGGGGGCGAGUACAGCGGCGAACGGGUGAGUAACACGUGGGCAACCUGCCCCAAGGAGCGGGACAACCUCGGGAAACCGGGGCUAAUACCGCAUGACCCGCCACGGCUCAAGCCGUGUCGGCAAAAGGUCGCUUCGGCCUCCGCCUUGGGAUGGGCCCGCGGCGCAUUAGCUUGUUGGUGAGGGUAACGGCCCACCAAGGCGACGAUGCGUAGCUGGUCUGAGAGGACGAUCAGCCACACUGGGACUGAGACACGGCCCAGACUCCUACGGGAGGGCAGCAGUGGGGGAAUCUUGCGCAAUGGGCGAAAGCCUGACGCAGCAACGCCGCGUGAGGGACGACGGCCCUCGGGUUGUAAACCUCUUUCAGCGGGGACGAGGCCGACGCGGUUAAUACCCGCGAGCGGUG